rnacentral:rRNA from 1 species
GAUGAACGCUGGCGGCGUGCCUAAUACAUGCAAGUCGAGCGAACGGACGAGAAGCUUGCUUCUCUGAUGUUAGCGGCGGACGGGUGAGUAACACGUGGAUAACCUACCUAUAAGACUGGGAUAACUUCGGGAAACCGGAGCUAAUACCGGAUAAUAUUUUGAACCGCAUGGUUCAAAAGUGAAAGACGGUCUUGCUGUCACUUAUAGAUGGAUCCGCGCUGCAUUAGCUAGUUGGUAAGGUAACGGCUUACCAAGGCAACGAUGCAUAGCCGACCUGAGAGGGUGAUCGGCCACACUGGAACUGAGACACGGUCCAGACUCCUACGGGAGGCAGCAGUAGGGAAUCUUCCGCAAUGGGCGAAAGCCUGACGGAGCAACGCCGCGUGAGUGAUGAAGGUCUUCGGAUCGUAAAACUCUGUUAUUAGGGAAGAACAUAUGUGUAAGUAACUGUGCACAUCUUGACGGUACCUAAUCAGAAAGCCACGGCUAACUACGUGCCAGCAGCCGCGGUAAUACGUAGGUGGCAAGCGUUAUCCGGAAUUAUUGGGCGUAAAGCGCGCGUAGGCGGUUUUUUAAGUCUGAUGUGAAAGCCCACGGCUCAACCGUGGAGGGUCAUUGGAAACUGGAAAACUUGAGUGCAGAAGAGGAAAGUGGAAUUCCAUGUGUAGCGGUGAAAUGCGCAGAGAUAUGGAGGAACACCAGUGGCGAAGGCGACUUUCUGGUCUGUAACUGACGCUGAUGUGCGAAAGCGUGGGGAUCAAACAGGAUUAGAUACCCUGGUAGUCCACGCCGUAAACGAUGAGUGCUAAGUGUUAAGGGGUUUCCGCCCCUUAGUGCUGCAGCUAACGCAUUAAGCACUCCGCCUGGGGAGUACGACCGCAAGGUUGAAACUCAAAGGAAUUGACGGGGACCCGCACAAGCGGUGGAGCAUGUGGUUUAAUUCGAAGCAACGCGAAGAACCUUACCAAAUCUUGACAUCCUUUGACAACUCUAGAGAUAGAGCCUUCCCCUUCGGGGGACAAAGUGACAGGUGGUGCAUGGUUGUCGUCAGCUCGUGUCGUGAGAUGUUGGGUUAAGUCCCGCAACGAGCGCAACCCUUAAGCUUAGUUGCCAUCAUUAAGUUGGGCACUCUAAGUUGACUGCCGGUGACAAACCGGAGGAAGGUGGGGAUGACGUCAAAUCAUCAUGCCCCUUAUGAUUUGGGCUACACACGUGCUACAAUGGACAAUACAAAGGGCAGCGAAACCGCGAGGUCAAGCAAAUCCCAUAAAGUUGUUCUCAGUUCGGAUUGUAGUCUGCAACUCGACUACAUGAAGCUGGAAUCGCUAGUAAUCGUAGAUCAGCAUGCUACGGUGAAUACGUUCCCGGGUCU